rnacentral:pre_miRNA from 1 species
AGGAGGAACAGCCCCAGUGGCGGGGCCGCUCUGGAAACCUGGAUUCAGCUCCGGCGGGAACUCCGUCUGCAGGGCCUGGAGGCUCCGGGGCGGG